rnacentral:misc_RNA from 1 species
UGAGCCAACAGUUCAAUUUGGGACUUAAGCAAGGACAGAGUUUUCCAUACCAGGGUUUUGAAGGUAACCAUUGAAGACAGUUCCUCCAUAUUCUUCUGAAGAUGUUCGAUUGAGGAGUUCAUUGUGGCACUUUGUUUUCAAAUUAGUGUGAAAGAGUGUGGAGAGAGUCAACUUACACUGUAGUAACUUAACUUUUGCACAUAUAUCUAUAUAGUAAAAUAUAAUUAAAAAUAAAUAGGAGCACCAAAAAAUACGUCUUUAUACUUUCGUGUCUACCC